rnacentral:rRNA from 1 species
CUACAAGUCGAGCAGGGUCGAAAGACGGACUUAGUGAUCCGGUGGUUCCGCAUGGAAGGGCCAUCGCUCAACGGAUAAAAGCUACCCCGGGGAUAACAGGCUUAUCUCCCCCAAGAGUUCACAUCGACGGGGAGGUUUGGCACCUCGAUGUCGGCUCAUCGCAUCCUGGGGCUGUAGUCGGUCCCAAGGGUUGGGCUGUUCGCCCAUUAAAGCGGUACGCGAGCUGGGUUCAGAACGUCGUGAGACAGUUCGGUCCCUAUCCGUCGUGGGCGUAGGAAAUUUGAGAGGAGCUGUCCUUAGUACGAGAGGACCGGGAUGGACAUACCUCUGGUGUACCAGUUGUCGUGCCAACGGCAUAGCUGGGUAGCUAUGUGUGGACGGGAUAAGUGCUGAAAGCAUCUAAGCAUGAAGCCCCCCUCAAGAUGAGAUUUCCCAACUUCGGUUAUAAGAUCCCUCAAAGAUGAUGAGGUUAAUAGGUUCGAGGUGGAAGCAUGGUGACAUGUGGAGCUGACGAAUACUAAUCGAUCGAAGACUUAAUCAA